GAUGAUUUAAGUAUCAUUGUGACGCUUUAAGUAUCAUUGUGACAUUCAGGGGCGUGCUGUAUUCUGAAUCUAGCCCUGAGUCAAAAGACACAAUGAAUUAUGACAAAAGUGGGUGUAUUCCAGAGAUGGGAGGUUAGAAAAUAAUACGAAAAUGAUAUUAUUCUGACCUUACUCUAUUACUCAGCCCCAAUUCCCCCACACUUUGUGAACCUUUUUGUGAGUACAAUGCUAAGGCAGUUUAAAAAAAUGCAACUAUAUACAAGUUCAUCAAUUCCAGAUGUAAAGUCAAUAGCAAUUCAAGUGAUGACCACAGCAGUAACCUGGAGACCUGCAGUCUCAAUGUAUCAGGUAAAUGACGGUCCUGAGGAACAGAUGUCAGGACAUCAGAUGUGAAGUUAAAGGAUCCAUCUAAAGACUAUCUGUGGCGACCAAAGGGAGCCACAGUGAGGCAGCCAAACGUGAGCACUGAGAUGAAGGAAAUAGGCCCGAAGCAGCCUGCUCAUGCUCUGAGACUGGAGGAAGAGGGUGAACGCAAUCUCUGGAGGGAAGCCCUGACUUCAGGCAGCUCAGGCACAGAAUGACCCAUUACACUGAGUAGAUACUCCCGUCUGCUAUCAGAUGCCUGCCUAGUGUCACAGCAUCUCAUCUGCAAGAUGACUCACAUCUCGUCUGUGAGAUAACCUACAAUCUGGGUUACAUGCAUCUGCAGCACCUCAUCUGCAAGAUAACCCCCAAUCUGGGUUAUAAGCACAGAACUCAUCUCCUCAGGAAAUGAUAUCAAAUAAUAAGAAAUAAAUUGCUUGCCUUGCAUAAAAAGAGCCAUUCAAUAAAUGUUGUAUUAUAAUCUGAGAAUUGAACAAGGCCUAUGAAAAAGUC
rnacentral:lncRNA from 1 species